rnacentral:lncRNA from 1 species
CCAGGUGUAUCCCCUUCAGCCGUUUGGAGCAAGGGAUGGAGAGACUUCGAAUAGUCUCUUCGGGGGCGGUGGUGAAGAGGAGGCCCCUGCCCAUGGCACCUUUCAGCUGUCUGAUGCAGUCAGAAUGUAUUAUCUUGCAACAGAGUUAUUUGUGUGUAGACUGUGAGCUCCAUGAGUGAAGGAUCUCCAUCCUCCAGCUGACGGGACAGUUGGAAGGGCCUUUGGACACCAUCAAGUCUAAACAGCAAUCCCCUCUGUAUCCCCAACAAGUGGUCGCAUGGGCUCUGCUCAGAGACCUCGAGGGCUCAUUGGCCCCCCUUCUUGUUGUCCCAAAUCCCUCAUGUAAAUAAAAGCCCUCCAGAUGUGUAAAGGCA